rnacentral:rRNA from 1 species
GACGAACGCUGGCGGCGUGCCUAAUACAUGCAAGUAGGACGCAGUUGCGAACGGGUGAGUAACGCGUAGGUAACUACCUAUCAGAGGGGGAUAACUAUUGGAAACGCUAGCUAAUACCGCAUACUAGUAGAUGGAUCUUCGUUGUAUUAGCUAGUAGGUAGGGUAAUCGCCUAUCUAGGCAACGAUACAUCGCCGAACUGAGGGGGUGAUCGGCCAAACUGGGACUGGGACACGGCCCAGACUCCUACGGGAGGCAGCAGUAGGGAAUCUUCGGCAAUGGGGGGAAACCUGAACGAGCAACGCCGCGUGAGUGAAGAAGGUUUUCGGGUCGUAAAGCUCUGUUGUUAAGGAAGCGGUACUUAACCAGAAAGCGACGGCUAACUACGUGCCAGCAGCCGCGGUAAUAC